rnacentral:misc_RNA from 1 species
AAGUCGUAACAAGGUUUCCGUAGGUGAACCUGCGGAAGGAUCAUUAACACGUUUUUUCCAACGUUUUUGACCCAUUCUAUUUUCUGUGCACCUCAUGCGUCCGGCCUCCCAGCCGCCCGUCGAGUUUACUCGGCGUGGCCUGUUGGGCGUCUUUGGGAACCAAGGUUAUUAGUCUUUUUGAGUGCGACUUCAAGUUGUAUUCAAGUUGCUUUUGACCUCCCUCUGGCGUUGCCACCUCACCCAAACCCUUUAAUCUAAUCUAUCUGAACUUUUAGUUGAAGUUUCGCAAGAAACGACAACGACACAAAACAAACAACAACUCUUAACAACGGAUAUCUUGGUUCUC